rnacentral:rRNA from 1 species
CGGCGGUGUGCCUAAUACAUGCAAGUCGAACGCGUUGGCCCAACUGAUUGGACGUGCUUGCACGGACUUGACGUUGGUUUACCAGCGAGUGGCGGACGGGUGAGUAACGCGUAGGUAACCUGCCCCAAAGCGGGGGAUAACAUUUGGAAACAGAUGCUAAUACCGCAUAACAAUUUGAAUCGCAUGAUCCAAAUUUAAAAGAUGGUUUCGGCUAUCACUUUGGGAUGGACCUGCGGCGCAUUAGCUUGUUGGUAGGGUAACGGCCUACCAAGGCUGUGAUGCGUAGCCGAGUUGAGAGACUGAUCGGCCACAAUGGAACUGAGACACGGUCCAUACUCCUACGGGAGGCAGCAGUAGGGAAUCUUCCACAAUGGGCGCAAGCCUGAUGGAGCAACACCGCGUGAGUGAAGAAGGGUUUCGGCUCGUAAAGCUCUGUUGUUAGAGAAGAACGUGCGUGAGAGCAACUGUUCACGCAGUGACGGUAUCUAACCAGAAAGUCACGGCUAACUACGUGCCAGCAGCCGCGGUAAUACGUAGGUGGCAAGCGUUAUCCGGAUUUAUUGGGCGUAAAGCGAGCGCAGGCGGUUUGAUAAGUCUGAUGUGAAAGCCUUUGGCUUAACCAAAGAAGUGCAUCGGAAACUGUCAGACUUGAGUGCAGAAGAGGACAGUGGAACUCCAUGUGUAGCGGUGGAAUGCGUAGAUAUAUGGAAGAACACCAGUGGCGAAGGCGGCUGUCUGGUCUGCAACUGACGC